CGCGGCCUAUCAGCUUGUUGGUGAGGUAACGGCUCACCAAGGCGACGACGGGUAGCCGGCCUGAGAGGGUGACCGGCCACACUGGGACUGAGACACGGCCCAGACUCCUACGGGAGGCAGCAGUGGGGAAUAUUGCACAAUGGGCGCAAGCCUGAUGCAGCAACGCCGCGUGAGGGACGACGGCCUUCGGGUUGUAAACCUCUUUUAGCAGGGAAGAAGCGAAAGUGACGGUACCUGCAGAAAAAGCACCGGCUAACUACGUGCCAGCAGCCGCGGUAAUACGUAGGGUGCAAGCGUUGUCCGGAAUUAUUGGGCGUAAAGAGCUCGUAGGCGGUUUGUCGCGUCUGCUGUGAAAAUCCGAGGCUCAACCUCGGACCUGCAGUGGGUACGGGCAAACUAGAGUGCGGUAGGGGAGAUUGGAAUUCCUGGUGUAGCGGUGGAAUGCGCAGAUAUCAGGAGGAACACCAAUGGCGAAGGCAGAUCUCUGGGCCGUAACUGACGCUGAGGAGCGAAAGCGUGGGGAGCGAACAGGAUUAGAUACCCUGGUAGUCCACGCCGUAAACGGUGGGAACUAGAUGUGGGGUCCGUUCCACGGAUUCCGUGUCGCAGCUAACGCAUUAAGUUCCCCGCCUGGGGAGUACGG
rnacentral:rRNA from 1 species